AAAAUUUAAACAUUACAACUUUUGACUCUGGCACCCUUGAAUCAGGCAUCGAAGAGCAACACGUAAUGUUGCUUGCAGAAUUCAGAGUUGCAUCGAUCCUUUGAACACCCAUUGUUUGAGCGCGCAUUGUGCCGUUUGGGAUUGCUCAAGCCAUG
rnacentral:rRNA from 1 species